UAUUGUCUCCCUUGAUUUUUUCUACUCUGACUCACUUUGUAACAUUCAUUUCUCUCUCUUCACUUCUCUCUCUUCAUUUCUGGAUCUACAUCUCUCUCUUUCUCUAUCCUCUUCCAUUGAAGAACGAAUAUUUUCAUCUUUCUCUCUCUUCAAUUUGUGCAAUUUGGGGUUCAAAAUCGCUGGAAAAAUUGUGGAUCGGUACUUUACUUGUUCAAGCGGAUCAAACCCCUCAACUAAUUUUGUGAAUCCGCCCUUUUUAAAGGUGAUAGGUUGCCUGUGUACAUGAGUGAAUCCCCUGGUUCAGAAGAAUCACACUCUCAUCAGUUGGAUGCUCUCCUUCUAAGCUGGUUGUUAAAAAGGAUUCUGAUAAUGAAUCACACAGCUAAGUAUCGGAGGAGUCUCUCGAUUAUGGUCAAGUUUAGUGAUCGUACCUUAAUUAUUCACGUGAUCAAGAGACCAAGUAUGAAAAUUUCCAACAAUAGCAAGUCAGGAAACGUCUAUGUGGAGUAGUGACAUGUACUGUUUCGGAUCUUAUCUUCUCAGGGCCUCCUUUUAAUGUCAUCGUGAGAGCUGUGUUAAUAUAUCAAGAGAUUCAAGAGAUCUUGUAGAAGAUAAAAGAUUUCUCCUUAUGUUGUUGUCAUACUAUUUGCUCUAAACUAUUGUCAGAAUUAUGUUUUAACACAAUAAACAUAUAAUUCUAAGUGAUAUUUAUUUGUAAUUUAUUUUUCUAAGUACGACAUUUUGUAUGUACUAUUAAUUUUUAAUGAAAAUUCCCUUUAUUAUCAUAUUUUUAUAAAUUCAUGUAUAUCUAUAUACGAAAUACAUUUUGCACUUUUUCCUCCUAAAAAUCCAACCUUUAUACCCCACCUUCUCCUAUAGAUCCAUUUGACCUCUAACCUGUUAAACUGGUUAAAAAGUUUUUUUUAUUUUUUUUUUAUUUUUAAUCCUUUCACUCCUCUUUCUCUCUCCUAUCUCCUACAACCUGAAACAACAGAACCACCACGCACAUCCGUCGCCACCACCACCUUUGCCACCACUUACCCCACCCUACCCAAAGCCAGAACCGAAACCCUUCUCCCACUCCUACUUCUGCUCGAAACCAUAAGCCCAGGCUCAAUUAAACCUUCGAUUUGCUUUGAUUGUGGGGCUGCCACCACCGAUUUGCUUCGAUUAAACCACAUCAGCUAUUAAUUGUUGUUGUUGUUGGCGAGUUGAUGUUGUUGGUGAAGAGAAAUUGGUGGGCUGAAGUUUGUGGUUGUGUUGCUGGUGUCGUGUGGUGGCGAGCAAGGUGGAUGUGGAUUGGUGAUUGGUGGGAACUUUGCAGCGUGAGGUUGGAGUUGGAGGGUGGUGCGGUUGUGAUUGCGGGAUUGCUAAAACGGAGAUUGGAAAUGGAGGUAGGGGCUGUGCGUUUGGAGUUUGGAAACGGAGAUUGCGUUUGGAGUUGCGGGGUUGUGCGUUUGGAGAUGCGGGGCUGGGCGUCUUGGAGUUGCGGGGCUGUGCGUUUGGAGUUCUGGGGCUGGGCGUUUUGGAGUUGCGGGGUUUGGGUUUGGACGGAGGCGGGGUUGGUGGCUGGGCGUGAGUGUUAGUGGCUGGGCGUGAGUGUUGGUGGCUGUGCUGGGUUCCGGUGGGCGGUGGGUUAGGGUGGUCAGGGAAGGGAGAGGGUGGAGCUGGUGUUCUAAAUUUUUUUUUCUUCUUCUUUUAAUUAUUUUUGUUUUUUAAUAAUUAAAAAAAUAAUUAACCUAUUAAUAGCUGACACGUGGAAUAUGACUUACAAAAAUCAGUCAUUAACAGGUAAUGGACCUAUUGAAGAAGGAGGGGUAUAAAGGUUGGAUUUUUGAGGAAUAAUCAAAAGGUUGGAUUUUUGUAAAGAAAAAGUUAAAAG